rnacentral:rRNA from 1 species
AUUGAACGCUGGCGGCAGGCCUAACACAUGCAAGUCGAACGGUAACAGGAAGCAGCUUGCUGCUUUGCUGACGAGUGGCGGACGGGUGAGUAAUGUCUGGGAAACUGCCUGAUGGAGGGGGAUAACUACUGGAAACGGUAGCUAAUACCGCAUAACGUCGCAAGACCAAAGAGGGGGACCUUCGGGCCUCUUUCCAUCGGAUGUGCCCAGAUGGGAUUAGCUAGUAGGUGGGGUAACGGCUCACCUAGGCGACGAUCCCUAGCUGGUCUGAGAGGAUGACCAGCCACACUGGAACUGAGACACGGUCCAGACUCCUACGGGAGGCAGCAGUGGGGAAUAUUGCACAAUGGGCGCAAGCCUGAUGCAGCCAUGCCGCGUGUAUGAAGAAGGCCUUCGGGUUGUAAAGUACUUUCAGCGGGGAGGAAGGGAGUAAAGUUAAUACCUUCGCUCAUUGACGUUACCCGCAGAAGAAGCACCGGCUAACUCCGUG